AUCCGCCAGAGAAUUACACGAGAAAAUCUCAAAACUCAAAGGACUUGACGGUGGCCUACACCAACCUAGAGAAGCCUGUCCAUUAAUCGAUACCCCACGCUUCACCUCACCCCCCCUCGCACUAACAAGCCUAUAUACCGCCGUCGCCAGCAUACUUAAUGAUAAAAUAAAAGUAGGCAAAAAAGUUUACCCACUAACACGUCAGGUCAAGGUGUAGCUAAUGGGGGGGGAUACGAUGGGCUACAUUUUCUAUAAACCAGACCCACCCGUAAGCCCAAUGAAAUCUAAGCCGAAAGGUGGAUUUAGCAGUAAGCAAUAGCAAGACAUGCCUAACUGAAGCCUGCUCCAGACCGCGUACACACC
rnacentral:rRNA from 1 species